GACGAACGCUGGCGGCGUGCUUAACACAUGCAAGUCGAACGGGCCUUGUCCCCUUUUUUUUUGGGGGUGGGGUUAGUGGCGAACGGGUGAGUAACACGUGAGUAACCUGCCCCUCACUUCUGGAUAACCGCUUGAAAGGGUGGCUAAUACGGGGUGUUCUGGCCUGCUCGCAUGGGUGGGUUUGGAAAGAUUCGACCGGUUUUGGUUGUUUUGGGGGGGGAUGGGCUCGCGGCCUAUCAGCUUGUUGGUGGGGUGAUGGCCUGCCAAGGCUUUGACGGGUAGCCGGCCUGAGAGGGUGGGCGGUCACACUGGGACUGAGACACGGCCCAGACUCCUACGGGAGGCAGCAGUGGGGAAUAUUGCACAAUGGGCGCAAGCCUGAUGCAGCGACGCCGCGUGAGAGAUGGAGGCCUUCGGGUUGUGAACCUCUUUCGCCAGUGAAGAAGGUCCUGCUCUUUGUGGUGGGGUUGACGGUAGCUGGGUUAAUGAAGCGCCGGCUAACUACGU
rnacentral:rRNA from 1 species